CGCCCCUAGUAAUUAUUAGGGGUUCUGCCUGCCCGGUGACCUAGGUUAAACGGCUGCAGUAUUACUGACUGUGCAAAGGUAGCAUAAUCAUUCGCCUGUUAAUUGCAGGCUAGUAUCAACGGCUAGACGACAGAGUAACUGUCUCCUUUUAUUAAAUCUGAAAUUAGUAUAAAGGUGAAGAAACCUUUAUAUGUUAGUGGGACGAGAAGACCCUAUAGAGCUUUACCCUGACAGAAAACAAAAUUUUUUUAAGGGUUUGGUUGGGGCAACCAUCUUUAGUUUAAGACAAAGAUUAUAAUUUGUAAGUUUAAGUAUAAAAGACCCAAAAAAUUUUGAACAAAAGAAAAAGUUACCUUAGGGAUAACAGCGUAAUUUCUUUUGAGAGUACUUAUUGACAAAGAAGCUUGCGACCUCGAUGUUGGAUCAGAAAAACCUGGAUGUGCAGCAGCCUCCUAGGGUUGGUUUGUUCAACCAUUAAAGUUCU
rnacentral:rRNA from 22 species